rnacentral:rRNA from 1 species
UACAGAGGAGCCAAGCGUUGUCCGGAUUGACUGGGCGUAAAGCGCACGCAGGCGGUGGUGCGCGUGGGGUGUGAAAUCUGGCCGCUUAACGGCCAGGCGCCAUCCCAUACGGCACGACUGGAGGGCUGCAGAGGUCGAUGGAAUUGCCGGUGGUAGUGGUGAAAUGCGUAGGAGAUCGGCAGGAACACCCAGGGGGAAACCAGU